UACGAAGGGUGCAAGCGUUACUCGGAAUUACUGGGCGUAAAGCGUGCGUAGGUGGUGAGUUAAGUCUGUCGUGAAAGCCCCGGGCUCAACCUGGGAAUGGCGAUGGAUACUGGCUCGCUAGAGUGCGGUAGAGGAGAGUGGAAUUCCCGGUGUAGCAGUGAAAUGCGUAGAGAUCGGGAGGAACAUCAGUUGCGAAGGCGGUUCUCUGGGCCUUACCUGACGCUGAGGUGCGAAAGCGUGGGGAGCAAACAGG
rnacentral:rRNA from 1 species